UGAACUCAGUUCAAAGCCAAGCUUCUCCAAGCUCUUGGCGUAACUAAUCAUCUUAAUGUUUCUGGACAGUGAUGGCACCAAUCCAUGUGUGUGCCGAUUUGUUGGUACUCCAAGCGCGGAAUGAUAUAGCAAACGUGUUUUCCACACACAAGAGUAACUCGGGGUUCAAUAUCGAACUCUUGGCGAGAUGUUUUGAAACAAUAUUUAAGUCCAAAGUUCCUGUCAAUCAACCUGCAAUGCACAAGUGUUUGCCUUGUGCCCCCAACAAUCACCAUAGUGGUUAAAAUAGGAACAUAGUACAUGGGUUCACUUGUCUACUUUCUCAUAACUUUGGUGCCACGAACAUAGCAUAAAGGCAAUAAGAUUAUUAGCGAUUUCAUGAUGGCUUACAUUUCAACUGCUGGGGCCGAAGCCUACGGCAGCUGCCAGGAGGCCUACAGUAAAUACACCAACUAUGUGUCAAUGGCUCAGGAGGCGCACGAGCCUGAGACGAUCCACGACCUGGAUCUGGAAGUGGUCAUGAGGGAGGGAGGAGACAUGAAGCACGGUAGGUUUUUUAAUGGGGACGGAUCCAUCGAUCCGGCCACCGCUCCAAGCCUCGCUCAUAUCAGGGCUCGAAGCACGAGCUCAAGUCCAAGUAUACGCACUAACAUGCACGACAGAUGUCGGAGCAGGAGCUUGCAGCUUCAGAGCAAGCCUUGGAGGAGCGUAUCGUGGGGCGUAUGCAGGCUACGAUGUAGGCCGCAGUGAAUGCUCAGUAUGACCGGCUUUCGGUGUACGUUGCUAGUACCAAACAGGGGGGACACCACCGCUGUUCAACAUGUCACUUCUUCAGCUUGAAGGUUUUCCACACAUUCAUGUGACUUCGCUCAGAAACUUUUCUUGCUUUAAUUGAGAGUUGGGGUAAAUGUCUAAUCAUCUGUGGAGUAUCGAUCUAGUCGUGGCUCUAACGAGCCUACUUCCUCACACGCAAGCCCGGCUGGAGCCUACUUCCUCACACGCAAGCCCGGCUGGAGGGAACCCUCUUGGACGAUCCCCUCCUCCGCCCGCGCCUAACUCCGAUAAUUUUGCCUCAAACUUCUAUCAUCUUGUGGUCCCACUACUUGUCCCCACCCUAAAAUUGCACAACAUAGCAUCACAUAGCGACAUAGAAUAAUUUCUGAGCCAAAAAACUCGUUCUUGCUACCAAGUCAACACUUUGGAGCCAAAUGCCUCAUUCUUGGCUCCACAAUGGUUGAGUGA